rnacentral:lncRNA from 1 species
UCGCUUUACCCCAUCAAAUUGAAUUGAAAUGACAAAUCUGCCCUUAUAUAUAAGGUAACAUGUAAAAAAAAAUCAUUUUCAAAGAAAGCGUGCUGGUGUGAGUUAGGGGAAAAAGAGAGAGUAAGUGAAAAACUUCAUACAGCUCACACUUUGAAAAAGUGUGCCGGUUUGAAAUCGUUACCGGUACUUUUUUUCCAAGUUGAU